rnacentral:rRNA from 1 species
UACGUAGGGUGCAAGCGUUAAUCGGAAUUACUGGGCGUAAAGCGUGCGCAGGCGGUUCGGAAAGAAAGAUGUGAAAUCCCAGAGCUUAACUUUGGAACUGCAUUUUUAACUACCGAGCUAGAGUGUGUCAGAGGGAGGUGGAAUUCCGCGUGUAGCAGUGAAAUGCGUAGAUAUGCGGAGGAACACCGAUGGCGAAGGCAGCCUCCUGGGAUAACACUGACGCUCAUGCACGAAAGCGUAGGGAGCAAACAGG